UACAGAGACUGCAAGCGUUAUUCGGAUUCACUGGGCGUAAAGGGUGCGCAGGCGGCCGUGUGUGUGAGGCGUGAAAGCCCGGGGCUUAACCCCGGAAUUGCACCUCAAACUACAUGGCUAGAGCAUUGGAGAGGGUAGCGGAAUUCACGGUGUAGCAGUGAAAUGCGUAGAUAUCGUGAGGAACACCAGAGGCGAAGGCGGCUACCUGGACAAUUGCUGACGCUCAGGCACGAAAGCGUGGGGGAGCAAAAGGG
rnacentral:rRNA from 1 species